rnacentral:rRNA from 1 species
UACAGAGGCCACAAGCGUUAGGCGGAAUCACUGGGCUUAAAGCGUGUGUAGGCGGGAUGGUAAGUACUUUGUGAAAUCCCACGGCUCAACCGUGGAACGGCUGGGUAUACUGGCGGUCUUGGGCCACCUAGGGGCAACCGGAACAAGCGGUGGAGCGGUGAAAUGCGUAGAUAUCGCUUGGAACGCCGAAGGUGAAAACAGGCUGCUGGGGUUGCGCCGACGCUGAGACACGAAAGCCAGGGGAGCAAACGGG